UUAUUUUGGCAGAAGUUAGUGUAUUAAAUUUAGAAUUUAUAAAUGUAAUUUAUUUUACAAAUAAUAC
rnacentral:tRNA from 1 species